rnacentral:rRNA from 1 species
CAGCAGCCGCGGUAAUACGUAGGUCCCGAGCGUUGUCCGGAUUUAUUGGGCGUAAAGGGAGCGCAGGCGGUUUAGUAAGUCUGAAGUUAAAGGCAUUGGCUCAACCAAUGUAUGCCUUGGAAACUGUUAGACUUGAGUGCAGAAGGGGAGAGUGGAAUUCCAUGUGUAGCGGUGAAAUGCGUUGAGAUCGGAAAGAACACCAACGGCGAAAGCACUCUGCUGGGCCGACACUGACACUGAGAGACGAAAGCUAGGGGAGCAAAUGGGAUUAGAUACCCCAGUAGUCCCUGUCUCUUAUACA